rnacentral:tRNA from 1 species
GCCUCGUUAGCUCAGUUGGUAGAGCAGCUGACUCUUAAUCAGCGGGUCCUAGGUUCGAGCCCUAGACGAGGCA